rnacentral:rRNA from 1 species
UACGUAGGGGGCAAGCGUUGUCCGGAAUCAUUGGGCGUAAAGCGCGUGUAGGCGGUUACGUAAGUCUGCUGUGAAAGUCGGAGGCUCAACCUCGAGACGUCGGCGGAAACCAUCUGGCUAGAGUCCGGAAGAGGAGAGUGGAAUUCCUGGUGUAGCGGUGAAAUGCGCAGAUAUCAGGAAGAACACCCGUGGCGAAGGCGGCUCUCUGGGACGGUACUGACGCUGAGACGCGAAAGCGUGGGGAGCGAACAGG